AACGAACGCUGGCGGCAUGCCUAACACAUGCAAGUCGAACGGGACCUUCGGGUCUAGUUGCGCACGGGUGCGUAACGCGUGGGAACUUGCCCGUAGGUUCCGAAUAACUCCCCGAAAGGGGUCCUAAACCGGCUAAGGCUAUUGGCGCAAAGGAUUUUCGGCUUUGGGUUGGGCCGUGUUGGGUUUGCUCGUUGGGGGGGUAAAAGCCUACCAAGGCGACGAUCCGUAGCUGGUUUGCGUGGAUGAGCAGCCACGCUUGGACUGAGCCACGGCCCAGACUCCGACGGGAGGCAGCAGUGGGGAAUAUUGGACGGUGGACGAAAGCCUGAUCCAGCAAUGCCGCGUGAGUGAGGAAGGCCUUAGUGUUGUAAAGCUCUUUUACACGGGAUGAUAAUGACAGUACCGGGAGAAUAAGCUCCGGCUAACUCCGUG
rnacentral:rRNA from 1 species